rnacentral:rRNA from 1 species
UACUCCCCAGGUGGAUUACUUAUCGCUUUCGCUUAGUCACUUAUAAUAUAUCACAAACAACUAGUAAUCAUCGUUUACGGCGUGGACUACCAGGGUAUCUAAUCCUGUUUGAUCCCCACGCUUUCGUGCUUGAGCGUCAGUUAUAGCUUAGUAAGCUGCCUACGCAAUUGGAGUUCCUCGUUAUAUCUAAGCAUGUCACCGCUACACAACGAAUUCCGCCUACUUCAUCUAUACUCAAGAAUCCCAGUUUCAACGGCAGUGUUCAGGUUGAGCCUGAAAAUUUCACCGCUGACUUAAGAUCCCGCCUGCGCACCCUUUAAACCCAAUAAAUCCGGAUAACGCUCGCAUCCUCCGUAUUACCGCGGCUGCUGGCACGGAGUUAGCCGAUGCUUAUUCAUACAGUACAUGCAAUAAGUUACACGUAACUCUUUUUAUUCCUGUAUAAAAGAAGUUUACAACCCAUAAGGCAGUCUUCCUUCACGCGAUUUGGCUGGUUCAGACUCUCGUCC